ACGGGGGAUGCGAGCGUUAUCCGGAUUUAUUGGGUUUAAAGGGCGCGUAGGCGGGACGGCAAGUCAGCGGUAAAAGACUGCAGCUAAACUGUAGCACGCCGUUGAAACUGUUGACCUCGAGACGAGACGAGGGAGGCGGAACAAGUGAAGUAGCGGUGAAAUGCAUAGAUAUCACUUGGAACCCCGAUAGCGAAGGCAGCUUCCCAGGCUCGUUCUGACGCUGAUGCGCGAGAGCGUGGGUAGCGAACAG
rnacentral:rRNA from 1 species